rnacentral:misc_RNA from 1 species
UCCGAUUUGUCACCGGCAGUCUCCCUAGAGUCCCCGGCAUUAUCCGCUGGCAACUAGGGACAGGGGUUGCGCUCGUUGCGGGACUUAACCCAACACCUCUCGACACGAGCUGACGACAGCCAUGCAGCACCUGUGUUCCGAUUCCCUUUCGGGCACAGCUGGAUCUCUCCAGCCUCUCGUACAUGUCAAGGGUAGGUAAGGUUAUUCGCGUUGCAUCGAAUUAAUCCACAUCAUCCACCGCUUGUGCGGGUCCCCGUCAAUUCCUUUGAGUUUUAAUCUUGCGACCGUACUCCCCAGGCGGUCAACUUCACGCGUUAGCUGCGGUACUGAGAAAUCGCUUCCCCAACACCUAGUUGACAUCGUUUAGGGCGUGGACUAC